rnacentral:lncRNA from 1 species
CCCUUUACAAGGAAUGUAAAGCAAGGACCGCUCGUUGGGACAGUAUCUAGGCUUAGAGAAGAACGAAGCACAUUCACUCUUUGGUCUUUGGUAUUUGAGGUCCAAGAUACAGUUGUUGUCGACAUGGAGAAACCCUUUCUUGAUCAGUUUCCUGCACGCCGGUCCGACUUGGGUGAAGUAGUUGUUUGCCAAUGACAAGUUCAUCAAGCUGGGCAGCUUGCAUACCAACUCAGGCACUGCUCCAUAGAACUGGUUGUUGUCCAAGACCAGAAUCUCCAUCUUGGUCAAGCAAGCAAACGACUGCGGAAUUGGCCCUGUUAACUGGUUGUAGCUCACAUCGAACAACGUUGCCUGGUUAAGUUUUCCGAUUUCCAUUGGCAAACACCCUGUUAAGCAAGUUUAUUAGAGGUUAAAUAUUUAGUUAAGAACAUAAACAUUUGUUAAGAUUAGGGAGCAUAUAUACCUGAGAGUCUGUUAUUGAGGAAGAGGACCUCAAAAAGAGUUUUACUUGCUUUGCCGAUGGUUCUUGGGAUCGGACCCCAGAACUUGUUGUUGGCAAAAGUGAGAUAAUGUGCUGUUGAGGAGCCAAUAGCAUCAGGAAUCUUCUCAUUGAAGUUGUUGUUGUUGAGGAAGACUACAUCAAUGUCUUUGUAGAGGAACACUUGGCUUGGAACUGAACCUUGGUAAUUAUUGAACCGGAGAUCCAAGAAUGUCAAGUUUGGGGCACUUAGAACUUCAUAGGGAAACCCUCCAUCUAGCUUGUUGUUACUGAGGUCGAGCUCGUAGAAGUAUGGAAGUCUGGAUGUACCAAUCGGAACUUGGCCUGUGAAAUUGUUGGAGUUGGCAUGGAAAAACACUAGGUCUGGUAGCUGGUCUAGGAAACCGUCAAGGGGUAGCUUUGUUUCUUUGCCGCCCCAUUUGCCAGCCAACUUUCUGCCGUUGAAGUUAACUCCGGCGACUGCGUUUUGGUUAUAGACAGGGACAACACCACAGAUAAAGCCUGUGAAUUUGCAAGGAUUAUCGCCAUUCCAUGUGCCUGUGAUGUUAUCUGGAUCCACCCCGAUGAGCUUUUGGAACCUUUUAAUUACCCUGAGGGCAAUUGCAAGUCUCUCGUUCGGUGGUGCCGGAGCGGGUGGUCGUGGCGGUAGUGGUGGUGGUGGGGACGGAGGUAGUGGUGGUGGACGUGGCGGCGGCGGUGGUGGUGGGGACGGAGGUGGUGGUGGUGGAGGUGACGGUGGUGGCGGUGACGGGGAUGGUGGCGGUGGGCAAGGAGGAGGGGGAGGGGGAGGGCAGUCUACGUAUUCAGGGGAGGGAGCGUAUUCGGGGGAGGGAGCGUAUUCGGGGGAGGGAGCAGGGGGGCUGUAGCUGCCGCCACCACCACCGAUGAUUAUUUCCAAAGCUUCUCUUUCAGCACAUUCAACUACAUCAUGUUGCAGACACAAAUGUAGCAGAAGUAGUGAAAGCAAAACUGAAGCAGAGGAAGAAUGUUUGGUACCCAUUUUUGCUUACACACAUUAGGAAUCUCACAGAUAAUGCCACCUAUAUAUAAGAGAGACGAAGCAAGACUUGAGGGAGAAGAAUAGUCAAGGUUCACGAGCCAACAGCUAGAACUAAAACUAGCUCAAGGUACAUUUUGUCUUGGGGGUGAGAGUUGAGAGCUGAGAGCUGAGAGUUGAGAAUUGAGUGUGGAAAAUGGAGAAUGGAGAGGAAGUUGAGCUCUCAUUAUCAGACAGAUGGACAUUUUGUUAAUACACCAUUGUUUGUCUCUUUGAUUCCUCUGCCCUUGAAUAUUUUGCUUUUAGAAGUUUGGCCUUAGUCACUUUACAGGACUUAAAAAGCUAGUUGCGCAUCUAAGCCAAUGAUAAUGAUGAUAUGCAAAAAUAAGGUCUGACAAGGAUAAAAAUACACUUGUUUGAGUGAAACCCUUAUUUAAGUUCGAGCCUUAAUAUUCAUAAACAGUGACGGAUCAAGGAUAAAAAUCUCACAUGGGUUAAAUGCAACGCCAAAAAAAAAUUAACCAACAGUAGAAAUUUUGGUUUAUUAAAAAAGAACACACAUACAUAAAGGGACGUAGCAAGUCUUACCCUCAAAUGCAUUUACAUGAACAAAAAUUAGACACAAUAUAAUACAAGAAACACAAUUAAAACUAACUAAACUGUACUCUACGAGGCCCCAAAGCUUCAAAAUCUUUAAUCACCAUCUCAUUGUCAACCGCUUUAACAAAUUCUUUUUCAAUAUGAAGCACCAGGCAAUCAUCAAGAAAUUCAUCCUCUAUCUUGUUUCUAAGUUUGUUUUUGAUGAUGUUCAUGGAUGAAAAAGCUCUCUCAGUGGUUGCAGUAGAAACAUGAAGAGUCAACACCAAACAAAUCAACCUAUAGAUCAUAGGAUAGAAGUCUAACUUUAUUCUUUGAACGAGUUGCCGACACAAAUCAGAUAUAGAAUCUAAGGUGUGGAAUGCUACAUCCUGAGUCAUAUCUUCUUAUAAUAUGCACACUCUAAUUCCAAAGAAAGAAAGUCAUCUUGCACAAAAUCUUGAGGAUAAAAACUCUUAGCAAGAAGGAGUACCUUUUGAGUGUCAAACAAGUUGAACUUAUCAUGAGGAUCCAAAGUUGAAGUGAGCUUAAGAAGUUCGCAAGAUCUAUCAUUGAACCUCUUAUUUAGCUCACUUAAUUGAAAGUCAAGUACAACAUUGAAUACCUCUACAAGGUAGUGGUGCUCAUGUGUGAUGAAAUUCUUUUGUUGACUCCGACGACCCGUACCAUCCAACCAACGAGCACUCAUAUCAAGCAUAGCAAUAUCAUGUGUCUCACAGAAAGAUGUAAGAACCAUAAAAAAAAUCAUCCCAACAUCUCUCAUGUCUUGAAGAAGUUCUUUUGUAGUUUCAACAAACUUCAUUGCUUCUCCAAUGUCAAUGGUUUUCUGUUGUACUACUUGACAAAGAACUUCUGUGACUUUCAUGACUCUAUGCAUCAAAAUCAGACAAAGCACAAACUCAAAUUGUAAUACCCCGGAAAUUUGAUAUUAGUUUCUAAUAUUAUUUAGGAGUUUUCGAGUUAGAAGUUAGUAUGUUUUGAGGUUCGAAGGAAGAGCAUAAGCGUUUGGACGCAUAAAUUACCCGAAAGGGUAUCUUUUUCUUUAAGGGUCAGAGGGUUGACUUUUUAUUCGUUGGGUUUCUCGAGAAACUUCCUUCAUGAAAGUUGUAGAGCACGACGAUACGAGUUCGUAGACACGCGACACGCGUAAAUCGGAUAUCGUACGAGGAAGUUAUGGUCAGCGGAAGUCAUGGCUUUUCAGGAGUUUUUAGGAUAAAUAGAAAAGUUUUGGGGUGGAAACCCUAAAAUUCAGAAACUCAACUUUCUUUCUCUCUCCUCCUCCCCGAGACGCACGGGCUGCCCCAUUUUUUCCGGGGAAGAAGUCGGACAUCUGGCCACCGAUUUGAUCGCCGCCGGUCCCGAUAGUUCGGUCUCGUCCUCACCAACCCAGCUGUGCCGAUCCUUGACGCCGGCGGACGACGGACAAGGCGCAGCAAGGCCUGAAAGCCACUGCUGCAGUGACCUCUCGCCGGACCCUAAUUCGGUGACCUCUGACGACACAGCUAGCUUAGUUAGGCUUGUCUCCUCCGUGUGAAGCUUCCUAGGCUAGUGGAUGGCCUCGUCUAGAGCUGUAGCAGCAAGAGGCAAGUGGAGUAGUGUUGGCCGAAAAUCGCAAACUCCGGUGACGACAUUAGGCAGUGAGAGGUAAGCCGUGAUGCUCUCCUCCUUCUAAGUAUGAUUUUUCUAGUCAUACAACUGGUUUUUGAGUGUUGGAAACCUUGGAUUUCAGUUUGAGGCUCAAGCUUGUAGGGGAAGUUUUGAAGCAGUUUAAGGCCAAGCCAAGCUUAACUGCGGGAAUAAAAAGUGUUCCUUAUGCUGUGAUCCUCAAGUUUAAUGUUUUGAGUCUUCUCAAAUUAGGAAGUUUGUGGUGGCGCGUGGGGCCCACUCGCCGCCGCCUGUGACGGCGUGUGGCAGCGCGUCCGGCAAUGUUUGGGGCUUAGUUGCUGUGUUGUAGCUAGCUCUUGUUGUUUUGAGCUUGUUGAGAUGUGGAAUUCUAGGUUUGGUGUAAGGUUUGCAUGUUAGGACUUUAAGUUUAAUCUUAGGCUUGUGUGAGGUUUGAGUUUAGGUUUGGAGGAUUAGAGGCAGCUUUAUUGAGUGACGACCUUGGAAAGUUGUCCUCCUGUGGGUUAAGGUUUGUUAAGGGUGCAAUAUUCUCAUUAGUUUGUUUGGUAACUAAGGUUAGUAUUUGUGUAAUUUUAGGUGUUUGGUGAAGAGUGAUUGGCUUGGCUUAGCUUUUUUGUUUGUGGAAGACGCAGCUGGAUAUAUUUAGGUGAGUAACAUCUCACCAAGGUUCACUUAGAACCAAUUAUUUAUGAAAUUGUGAUGAUGGUUAUAAUAAUUAUUGCGUGCUAAAAAUGAUUAUUUUGAUGAUGAUGGUGAUGUUGAUAAGGUUUAUGUUGAUAAAAUGAUGAUGAAUUAUGAUGAUGAUGAUGAUUUUUAUUGAUGAUUAUGAUGUUUUUAAUUUAAAAAUUUUAUUUUUGGUUGUUUUAAAAUAUAUGAGCUUGAUCGCCAACGGCUCAUAGGUAAGAUAAAACAAGUUUUCCUAUUAUAUGAUUAUUUUUAAGGUUCAUGAAAUUAUAAUAUUUUUGGUUCUUGUUAGGUUAUUCUUGUGGGAAUAACUAUGUCUUGUGCAUAUAAAUAUAUUUAUGUGGAAGGAUAUAAUUUUUAUGAUGUGUGCUUUGUGUUGUUGAUGAUGUUGAAUUAAAGAAUGAUGAUAAUUUAAAUGUUAUGCUUUUUAGAUAAUUGUGGUUGUUAUGAUGAUGAUGAUGAUGAUGAUGAUGAUGAUGUUGAAUUAAAGAAUAUGCUAUUGUUUGUUUUUAAAAAUAAAUGAGCUUAAUCGUCAACGGCUCAUAGGUAAGAUAAAACAAGUAGAUAGUCAAACUAGGUUUCAAGCCCUUAAUCGGGUGAUUGGUUGCUGUUAUGAUGAUUCUACUCUUUUUGAGAAUUGUUGUAUAGAUAGUCAAACUGGGUUCCAAGCCUUUAGUCGGGUGAUUGGUUACGGUUAUGAUUCUAUUAUUAUUUUGUGAUGUGAUAUUGGACAGUCAAACUGGGUUCCAAGCCUUUGGCCGGGUGAUUGGUUACGGUUAGGAAUAAAGCUCUAGUCCGCCUGUCGGUGUAGGUCAUGGGAGAUACCUUAUGGUAUCUGGGACCCAUGGGUGCACAAAUUGUUGUUGUAGGUCAUGAGAGGUAUUUUUUAAUAUCUGGGACUCAUGGAUACAUGUUAUUUGUGAAAGUGUUGAAAUUAUGGUUUUAACUUUGUUCUUAAUUGUUGUCAUUUAACUUGUUUUGAGUAUCUCCUGAACUAUGCUUAAUGCAGGAGAUUCUUCAAUUCUUAUUGUGUGAUUUUUGAGUGGAAUUUUCCUGAACUAUCUUUAUUUGUAGGAUUCUCUUAUGAUUGAUUGUUUUGUGAAUUGUUAUGUUUUCUCAAUUUCUCUCUUUGAAUUUUAUUGUUGAGGCAAUUCUUGAACUAAGUGCUAAGCAUGAAUUUUCGGUUUUAUUUUGUGUGAUGUUGGGUAGAGAUAUAUAUUGAGAGUUACUCAUACGGGCUUUUUAGCUUACCGGGUUUGUUGUUUAUAACCCGGUGCACCAAUUUAUGGUGUAGGGGUUAGACCUGCAGGUGUUGAUCAGCAGGGUUGAAGCGGUGGCUUAGGAGCUGGGUUUUAGACAAUGUAUAAUUAUUUGUAUAUUUUGUUAUUUUGUCUUUAAGCUCUUGUGAGCGACGUUAUUAUUUCUAGACUUUUGAAGUUAAUGUAAUUAGAGAGAUAUAAUGUUUAACUCAAUUGUUGAGUUUGUUGACAAUUACAUUUCCAGUAUUUGUUUUUAGUUUGUUAGUUGUUGAGCAGGUUUUGGGAUUUUAAAAUUUUAAGUUAUAUCAUGCCCAAAUUUUUGAAAUUUUAUCCUUCGAAAAUUUCGAAAAUUGGGGUGUGACACAAAUGAUCUCAUAGCUCUGAGAAUAUCACUAGCUUCUCCCUGAACAUGUAAGGUUGCAGUGUCCAUCAUAUGAUCCAGAGUUGCCACGGUUGAACCAAAUAAUUCAAUCAUACUCCUAAUAGAACGAAAAUGAGAGCUCCAACGAUCAGUAGAAGGUCGUUGCAAAGUGUAAGUUUGAUUAGAGCCCGUACCUGAUUGAAGAUUGUGAAUUAGCAAAGUGCAAGUAUAAUCAAGAAUAUGAUAUCUAUUGAUGCAAAUAGAAUACAAAUUAAAAUUAGCGUCAUACCUGUUUGAAGAUUGCCAAGAGCUAUCAAAUUUAGGAUUUCAUCCUCUCUAGCAGCUUUUAGGGCACCUUUGCGCUUAGCAGAUGAAUCCAUAAAAUUCACAACAAGUAAUAGAGUAGAAAAGAAGCGAUAUGUAUCAUGAACACCCUUAGCCGCACCAUUUAGAGCUAGCUGCAAACGGUGAGCAAAACAAUGAAGAUAGUACGCAUAGGGACAAUCUUCAAGAAACAAUGCAUGUAAGCCAUUCCAAAUACCACUCAUGUUACUAGCUCUGUCAUACCCUUGACCACGCAUAUUUUCCACUUGUAGAUUGAACAUACUGAGAACUUUAACUAUCUCCAAUUUAAGAGUUAAUGAGGUUGUGUCAGAAACACUCACUAUCUUAAGGAACCGUUCUUGGAUGAAGCUAUGACGGUCAACAAACCUCAAAAUUAUAAACAUUUGUUCCUUGUCAGCUACAUUAACAAGAAUGCAAAACUUCGCAUCAUCAACUUCUUCACGAAUCAUUUGCCUCACUCUAUUACCAAGAAUAUUUAAGAGCUGCUUUUGAAUAGAUAGAGAGAUGUACUUAGCAUUUCUAGGAGAAUUCUGCAAUAUAACCCUAUCAUCAUCACUAGCCAUUCUUUCAUAAGACUUUCUAACUUGCUUAAAAUUUCCAUCAUUAAGAGAGCUUUCAGAUUCAUCAUGGCCCCUAAAAGCUUGUCCUUGGUUUGCUAGAAGUCUCACACCCUUUAUUGUAGCCUUCAAUCUAAAUCGAUUAUGCUCCACCUCUUUUGCUGUUCUUUUCACAAAAACUCUCUCAAUUUGUGUAGCCAAAUUUCUCAAGAGGUGCCAUUUCUCCAUGGCUUCAUGAUGUGAACUCCCUAUAGACCCCAUAUGUACUGUAAGCACACUCUUUUGCUUCCAAUUUCUCAAUCCAUCUACAGUAAAAGCAGGAUGAAGAGGGUUUUCUUUAUCAAAAAGAAAACAAGGGAAACAAUAUAUCUUGUCUUGAUCCUCCGAGUACUCAAGCCAUGAAUGACCUUCAAACCAAUCAAAGUUAAACUUACGAUUUUGUGUCCCAUGAAGUGAAAGAGGAUAAUGUUUCAGCUUAGAUUGACAUGGACCUAAUGCAACAUAAGCUUUUCAAACGGCUUCGAGUUGAUUCGCAGGAUACUUCCAUAAAGGACACCGUUUGCCCGAAUCACGUUCAAUGGCAUUGACAUUGCCAUGGGGAUCAAACUCAUUCCUCUGAGGCCGAAAUAAAGGAGACUCUGAAGACGGUUCUUCAGCUACUCCAACAGGAAUUGGAGGAAUUGGAGUGCCUACAGAGGCUUGUGAACUUGAACAUGAUGACGAUUGAACUUUUCUGAACCAUGUGCUAAUAUCUUAUGAUCUAGGCCUUUUGACACGAUUAAUUUGCUCAUCUGACAUUAUGUAAUUCCAAUUAAAAUUUCCAACAAUUCAGUAAUUCAUUACUUAACAAGACAACAAUUCAAUUGAAUAAGCAUACUAGCAGCCUAGUUCAUUCAAUUGACUUCAAAUUCAAUUUCAUACUUCAAGUUCAAGAAGGAACACAAAUACAAUGGUCUCAGUCUCUCACAGACUCAGACUCUCAGUGAACACAAAUACCCAGAAGGAACAUAACUACACAAGUAAUGACUAAUCAGAAUUAAGAAAUAAGAAUAUACACACCUAGACGGCUGCCGGUUGGACUUGGUCUCAGUGGUCUGCAACCGAGUAGCAGAUGGCGAGCAGCAGUCAGCAGAGCAGGCGAAGCCGCGACCGGCGACGAGCAGACGAUGGCGAGCAGGCGGAGCAGCCGAGCAGGCAACUGCAUAUGGCUGAGAGUCUGAGACGAGCAACAGUCAAUAGAGCGGCGACGAGCGAGCAGGCGGAGCAGCCGAGCAGUCGCUCACACAGUCACACUCGUGUUUCGAAGUUUGGAGCUGAGAGACUGAGACGAGUUGGAUGGCUUGACUGCUGGAGGGCUGGAGGCUGAACUGGAGCGACACACUCACACACAUAGUUGUAGGGCUAAUUUUUUUUUUUUAUUGGGUCUGGUAGAAUUUUCGGCCUAAGGAUCUCACCUACGCUCCAGCCCAGGCAAGCCUUGGGUUGGAUCCGCCACUAUUCACAAGUCCCUUAUUGGUAGGUUGAUGGGGGACAUACGAGACUUAUAUGACGGUGGUAAAAAGUGUCAGUCUGGGUCAUCAUGAGACCCGACUGUUGGAUGCCGCAAGCUUACACUCAUGUAGCAAUUGGUUUGGACCAGAUGUUAGUUAGGUUCCCGCGAGCCGCAUGUGGUUUAUAAAGUUUCUGAUUUGGUGGGCUGCCUCUCUUCAAUCUAAAUACCAUCCACCAAGAAAGGAAAAAAUCUAAUUAUGUGUAUCGUUACAUCAAAGAGACAAAGCACGAUAAUUGUGGUAAACAAAUCGAGAAGCAUAGAAGAUCACCACAAGUGGUCUGGUCGAGUUAGUAAGAGCAUCCAAUUGUGGAACCCUAACGCUUGGGUUUGAAUCUUGCGAUAUUGAUCAAAGUUAAGUCUCAAUAUACUCUUAAUGGUCGUAGAGAAUUAAGUAAAUAAGAUGGAGAGAAAGAAUGUUUUGAAGUUUUAAGAGGGGAUUUGAGACAAAUGAGUGAAUGACCACGAGAGCAUUUUGGACCCAACUUGACUAAUAUUGGCUGAAAGAUAAAAGAGGACGUAGGGCACUUUUGCACAAGAUGACAUAUCAAUUAUUUGGGGUUAUUCACUCAUUACACAUGGGGAGAUCUACGACCCCUAGAGCAUGUCCACCCAUUGCUAAAAAACUUAAUUCAGAUCACUUUCACAUAAGCAAAGUGACCCAACUACAAAAAACAAGUUUCCACCCAUAAAAAUGGGCCUUCCCCAAAUCAACCUAAGUCACUUUGGGUUAAAUGCUAGGUUAGUGUGUUAACCCAACAAACUGACCCAGGUUGAUUCACUCACACAGCUGCCAAGUGAGCCAAACAUGCGCACAUGGCUUAAGUCAGCCAUUACCUCUACAAAUCCUGACCGUUGCUCCUAUUUGAAAAUGCAAUCUAACGGCUCCAAAACAAUGAGCCAUUGGGUUUGAAUUUUUUUUUUAUAACCAAUCAGAUAAUUGCAAUGUUUUUGUAAUUGCUUUUAUAAAUAAUUUGAAGGGUCUUUUUCAAAAGGGAAGAGAAUAAUAAAAAUGGUAACCAAAAAAUAUUUAAAAAUAUAGGAAAUUUUCUAUAAAUACCAUGGAAAUAAUUAUUUGUGUUAUAGGAAAAUGGAAAUUGGUCUACUCAUUUCAUUGAAGCUCCUCUUUAUAUAGAGGUGAUAUUACAAAGAUAACUAUAACGUACAUAAUGACAAUAAAAUCUAAUUGAUAACUGAUUGAACAAUUACACUAAUUGAUUACUAAUUACAUAAUUUACUCUCGUCGGUUAUGACUUUGACGAACGCACACAUAAAUGUGUUUUUCCUUCAACAAUUUGCAACUAAAAUCAUAUAUAUAUAUAUUGUUUUCACCAUCAUUUAUUUGAUACUAAAAUCAUUAUUCACACUUAAAAACGUUUUUUAAAAUUCAAUAAACAGUCACUGUCACGUGGCAGCAAUCUCACAUUUCUAACUGGUGGAAACUAUUGCCCAAUCAUAGUGACCCAGAGUGACCCAUGUUACUUAAGUGACCCAAAUCACUGCAUUCAUCUAACUUAACAGGUGAACUUACUCUUAGCUUCCGCAUCUAAACAGCAAACAAUGAUUAUCUGUCCGGACGAAAAGUGGGUAAGCAAUUUUAUCAAAUAAACAACGAUCAACGAUCAAAUGGUACAACGAAAUUAUCGUGAAUUAAAUUCAUAAUCUCACACUUAAAAACGAGAUAUUAUCUCGUUAAGACAAAUAGUACUGAAUGCCUACAAUAGGUAUCUACCUAUAUAUCUUACCAUCUAAUACCAACAGUCGUCUUCUAACAUUACCGACCUAUACAUGUACACACACACAUCAAUUCUGCACCUAUACAUAAACACAUGUCUGAAUUCAGGGAAAAAGGAGUGUAUAUAGCAACUCAGAUCGAUCAAUCAUAAAUAUCAUGCACGGGCAACAGUAAAACAUUUGUACAUGAACUCCUAGUCAUUUGCCAGGUGAAUAUCUACCUAGCUAGCUGAGCACAAUCAACUUUAGGUCUUUGGGAUAAUUAAUCUUGCCCUUGUGUGUCUGGUGUCUUUGAUAAUGAUCAACUUGAGAAUAUCUAUCGUGUUUCGAACAGAAUCGACAGGUAGGCAGAUGUACAACACACAAGUGCACGUUCUAUAAAGCAUAAGAACGAAACGAAAUAAUCCACAUACAGACCAAAAAUAAAUAAAACAAAAGUGGAAGUAUCGCCAAAAGUUUUUAUUUUUUUAUUUUUAUUUUUUUUAAAGAAGAAACAAAAAGGUUGAAUAAUUAAGUUUGACAACAAACAAAAACAGUUCCCCUCACUUCAAGGCAGAGAUCGGAAGAAUCCCAGCUUGCCAGUGCCUCAGUCUAAUUUUUUUUUUUUUUUGGGUAAGCGGGUAUAGGACUAACAUCGUCCUAACCCGAAAAUUUAUUGAUAAGAUAAAAAAAAGAGUACAAACCUCAGUCUAAUUGUUUAGUUUACAUGAUGUUGCACGUAACACCCUAGUCUAGCUGCACAUCCUAGCCUUGACCAGUUCAAUUUCCUGAAGUGUCUUGUUUUUUGGUCGGCCAAAGAAAUGUGUUUAUUUGGUGAAGUUUUGAGUUCCUCCAAUUUGUGUUGAUUGGUGUGAAUCAUGCAACUUAUUGUUGUGUUGUUGUAUUCUAGAGGAGAUAAGUUAAGAGAUUUAUGAUGCAUCGGUAUUACUCUAUAUAGGACUUCAAUCUUUUUAAAGAGAGCGAGAUAUCCAGGGGCGGAGCCAGCCCAGAUGAAGUUGAAGCCCAAAAAAAAGAAACCAACUUCUAUAUAAAAAAUAAAAAAAUUAAAAAAAUCCAAAUAUACCCUAAAUAUACCAAAAUCCCUUUUACCCAUCGUUCUCAACUUCUCAUUCUCACUACUCACAGCCACGCCCAAAGACCCAAAUCCUUUGCCCAUCGUAGAUUGGCCCUUGGUCGUCGCUCUCACCUCCCGUCGCUCUCGCCGCUCGUCGUCCUUCAGCCCUUGGCCGUCGCUGCCGAUGCCCAUCCCAGAUUCUCAGUCUGGUAGUCCCCGAUCCCUACUUCCUGACUUCAUGUCUUCCUCAAUCCUCAAUCCUCAGACCUUAGGUAUGGCUAUUGACUAAUGGCUCUUUGCCUAAACUUUGAUUAUUUGAAUCAAACUAUAGAAAUUCAUUAGGGAAUAAGGAUUACUAAAUUUUGAUUGUUGUUUGACUUGUUCUUUGCCUAAAUUUGAUUGUUGUUUUACUAAAUUAGGGAAUAGAAUUCAAUAGGGAAUACUGGAAUAGGGAAUAGAAUUCAGUUAACUACUUAACUAUAUGUUUGUUUGGCAUGCUUUCACAGACAUAUAUUUAUAUUUUUGGUUAAGAUUAAAGCUUGAUGUUGAAUUGUUGAUCAGUUGAUAUUUAUGUAAGGCACAUCCAUUUUUGUUUGACAGAAAUAGAUGAUGAUAUGUUGAUGAAUUUUACAUAAUGUCUGAUGAACACAUUGAUCGUGUUAAAAGGCCUAGAUCAAAAGAUAUAAGUACAUGGUUUAGUAAAAAGAGUGCUCAAGCGGUUGAAUUUGCUGAAGCGGUUGACAAUGAGGCGGUGAUUAAUGAUUUUGAAGCUUUGGGGCCUCGUAGAGUAAAGUUUAGUUAAUUUUUAUUUAUGCGUUUAAGGGUAAGGCUUACUAUGUCCUCCUAUGUAUGUGUGUCCUUUAUUAAUUAACUAAAAUUUCUCAUAUUGUCGAACAAAAUUUUUUGUAUGCUACAAUUAGCCCAAGUGACAUUUCUCAUACUGGCUCCGCCACUGAAAAUAUCCAUACCUCAACCUAUUGUGAUCGAAUUUCUAAAAUUAAAAUUGUAAGAUUAAUUAUAAUCUCCAAAUCUAUUCCACCGCAAUAAUGCAGUUCUCUUUCUUGGAAGUGGAAACCAAGAGCUUGACCAUACCUUAAAGCCAUAACCAUGCAUAUGGGGUGAAGUACUUUAUAUAAAGGUUAAUAAACACUUAUAUAUUCAGAUAAAACACAUUUUAUUUGAAAUAUAUAUAUAUAUAUAUAUAUAUAUAUAUACAGUAUUNNNNNNNNNNNNNNNNNNNNNNNNNNNNNNNNNNNNNNNNNNNNNNNNNNNNNNNNNNNNNNNNNNNNNNNNNNNNNNNNNNNNNNNNNNNNNNNNNNNNNNNNNNNNNNNNNNNNNNNNNNNNNNNNNNNNNNNNNNNNNNNNNNNNNNNNNNNNNNNNNNNNNNNNNNNNNNNNNNNNNNNNNNNNNNNNNNNNNNNNNNNNNNNNNNNNNNNNNNNNNNNNNNNNNNNNNNNNNNNNNNNNNNNNNNNNNNNNNNNNNNNNNNNNNNNNNNNNNNNNNNNNNNNNNNNNNNNNNNNNNNNNNNNNNNNNNNNNNNNNNNNNNNNNNNNNNNNNNNNNNNNNNNNNNNNNNNNNNNNNNNNNNNNNNNNNNNNNNNNNNNNNNNNNNNNNNNNNNNNNNNNNNNNNNNNNNNNNNNNNNNNNNNNNNNNNNNNNCCUCUCUCUCUCUCUCUCUCUCUCUCUCUCUCUCUCUCUCUCUCUCUUUGUAUUCAACAGUUUCAAUAAUGAAGACUUGAGGGUAGCCGCAUCAGCCCUUAUUCAAGAAAAAAAGAAAAAAAGUUACAAUGAUCUUUUCUCUUCUCUUUAAGCACAUAGCAUAUAUAAACUUUUUCCUUCAUUUUUAGCAUUUAAGAGAAUGUAGAUUGCACUCUAAAGUAGACUUUUUCCUUCGUUCUUAUGUAACUAGAGGAGAUCGGGAAAUCAAGAUUAUCAUAUUUGAUAAGGUUAACCAGACUUAAAGAUCUGUGUAUUUUAUUAAUUCAUGGAACUAGAAGUUUCAUGUGUACAAUUUAUUUAUGUUUUGCUCUUUACAGUUUUCUUAUUUUGUUAUGCAAUUUCAUUAUUGUACUUAUCUUUUAAAUUUUAUUAUUAUUCAUUCGAGUCAACAACCCUACAUCUCGAUUAUAUAAAUUUCGAGUGUAAUAUUUUUGGACCAGAAGUCUCAAAAUAUUGCAUUGUAGAACCCGAAGUUUUAAUAGUAAAUAUUCGAACUUGAAGCUUCGAUUACACAUAUAAUAUAAUUUAUGGCUCCAGAAGAGCACAUACUGUGCUAAAUUUAUCCAAUAACUUGUGGCAUAUAGUUAUAUCAUGAACCAGAAGUUCAUUGAACCAAAUACAUUAUUUGGCAUGACUCUUUGUGUCAUAUUUUAUCUACAGUGUUGCUUGGAAACAAUAGCAAAUUUUGAUGACCACUAACCCUACUCAUAGCCAAUUGUUUAUUUGUCGCAUAAUUUUGAGUCGUCAUAAGGGGGAUGUUAGAACCAAUCCAAUAUCCGUUCAAAAACAGUAUAUAUAAUAACGAAAUCAAAAAGAAAUUGAAAAUAACAAUGGAAAAUAAACAAUACUAACUUGAUUGAUCAGAUAGAGGUCUGCCGUGCAGUGACCUAAGACAGAAAUUCGUCCCCACUUGUGCUGCAGUUUCGGACGUGUAUCUAGAGGAUACAACUAUUUGGUUCAAGUUCUAGCACAGGAACUUGACCCUAACGAAUUUACUUUAUGCUUCAGAAGAAAUAGUUUUGGGGAGGAAGAAGAAUGAUUCAAUGAUUAAAACAACGACAAAAGUCGUCUUUAUAUAAAAAUCAAUUUGAACAGGUAUAACUGUUUGAACAGACAUAACUGCUCAGACAAUUGUAACUGUUUGGACAGUUAUGUUUUUUGAUAUUUAUCCAAAUUAAUAAUUAAAUUAAAUAAUAUUAAUUUUCAAAAAUUAAAUUCGGAUUUAAUCAACAGAACCCCAAGGCCCAAGGCCCAAUCUUUGACUUUUAGUAAAUAUAUAUAUAAAUAUAUAUUUAUUUAUUUAUUUAUAUUAGAAACCCAAUAGAAACCCCACCAAGCCCAUAUUAAGUCUAUCAUCCAUUUAUUGAGUCACAUGGGUGUUUCCAUAUAAAGACUCACACAUUUAAUUAUUUUUCAAUGUGGGAUAAAUACCACACAAGUUCCAAUAUGGGAGAGAGAUUAUUCCUGAAGAACGAUGUAGAGUGGUGAGAGUUGUUUAUAAUGUUUUUGACCUCAUACUUGGUUUAGCUUCGCCACCAGCCAAUGAACAUCUCACUCGAAAGAAAGUGAUAGAUCUUUAGACGCAAUAUAUGCUUAUGGUCAAAAUAAGACUGUCUUCCCGUAGUUAGGGGGAGAAUAAGACUACUGUCAUUUGAAUAAUGGCGUGAAUUUGAGUGGAAUGUAUCCACUAGGUCUAAAGUUUUAAGCUCCUGAAAAUGGAAGAUUAUACAGGUCAUCUAAUGGUAUACAUGAUAUUACAAGUAAAAGAUCCACAUUCGCUAUAUUAUAUUUGUCCUAGAAGUAACAACAUUUGCCCCCGAAGUGGCAUGGGUACCCAAUAUCAAAAAUGCAUGCAUAUAAGAAUGUGUGGCAUCUAUGAAUGAUGAUCAUUUAUGAAAAUUUAUAAAUGGUAGCUAACAAAGACCAUUAAGA